rnacentral:lncRNA from 1 species
AGAUCCUAAGAACCAACCUACUAAUAUAAAAUCCAAAAUUCUAGAUACACCACAAACUCAACAAUCUUUAGAAAAUUCAAAAAAUGAAAGUUAGAAAAAAAAUGUGAAAUUACAAUCCAUCCUAAAAAUCUACAAGUAGAAACACUUGAAGAACCCAAAAUCCUCGAGCCUAAAAAUGAAAUUCAGAAAAAAGAUUAUCUGGAAGUAGACAGUUUUCUAGAAAGAACUGAUCCCAUCCAGAAAGAAGCUCCAGACCUAGUUCCAAGUCUGGAUCUAGGCAAGGAUCUUUCCGACAAUCUUAAAACCCUAACUUAUUCAGAAUCUUUAUUAGAACCAAAAGGUAACCCUCAAGAAAUUGAAAACAUUCAGAUUCAACAAUCUAUAACAGACUUAGAACCUUUAACAAAUCCAUUUUGGAAAGAAGAUCAUCUAAAAGAAAUCAAUUCUCUAGAAGAUAUUAGUCCUGAAAUAAAACCCC